rnacentral:lncRNA from 1 species
AAUGAAAAAUCAAAGCUCAGUAUGUUGACCUCUUCACUCGGUCCGCCAACACUUUAUGGCAUUUCAUUUUCCAUUUAGAAGCAUCAACAUGAUAGCCGGGGUAUAACUGAGAUAUCAAGGACGACAUCCCAUUAAGCAACAACAUAUAUUUUGCCCAGUGCUUCUUCUCCAAUGUUGUCUCAAGCUGCCAUGAGUUUAAUGGAUCAAACACAUGGACCACAUGAGUAAACAUAUUGAAGACAUACAGAAUGUAAUACCCCUCUACAGAUCUGUCUGGAACCAUUAUAUGCACACAACAAUUAACUUCAUAAGAUGAUUUAAUUGGUAAACAAUAUACAUUAUGUGAUCUACUUGCUAAGCCCCUUACCAUAUUGCAAGUCCUCAAAUCAAAUUUUCCGUUCAAACCAACCAAACUUGCUUUUAUUUCAUCAUUAAUCUGUACGGCUGCACCAUUAAGCACUCUCUCCUGGAAACAUAUUACCACUACCAAAUUAGAAAUCUUAACUACGCGCAAAUUGUUUUCUUAUAUACUUAUUUUCCUACAAUGAACUAACCGCCCAGCUUAGAUGAAGAACCUUCCUCAGCCUCAAAAUUGACCUAGGAGCAUAUAACUUCUUAUCCUGACAAUACACAAGCCUACGGAAAAUAUCAAAUUGUCUUGCACCAACUUCUCCUCCAGGUUUCAUCAUUGCAUAUAUCUCAGUUCCAGUAAUUUGCAGCACAACAG